rnacentral:rRNA from 1 species
GAUGAACGCUAGCUACAGGCUUAACACAUGCAAGUCGAGGGGAAACGACAUCGAAAGCUUGCUUUUGAUGGGCGUCGACCGGCUCACGGGUGAGUAACGCGUAUCCAACCUGCCCAUCACUUGGGAAUAACCUUGCGAAAGUAAGACUAAUACCCAAUGAUAUCCCACGAAGAAAUCUGAAUGGGAUUAAAGAUUUAUCGGUGAUGGAUGUGGAUGCGUCGGAUUAGCUUGUUGGCGAGGUAACGGCCCACCAAGGCAACGAACAGUAGGGGUUCUGAGAGGAAGGUCACCCACAUUGGAACUGAGACACGGUCCAAAAUCCUACGGGAGGCAGCAGUGAGGAAUAUUGGUCAAUGGACGAGAGCCUGAACCAGCCAAGUAGCGUGCAGGAUGACGGCCCUAUGGGUUGUAAACUGCUUUUAUAAGGGAAUAAAGUGGGUCUCGUGAGACUUUUUUGCAUGUACCUUAUGAAUAAGGACCGGCUAAUUCCGUG